rnacentral:rRNA from 1 species
GGGUUGUGAGGUUAAGCGACUAAGCGUACACGGUGGAUGCCCUGGCAGUCAGAGGCGAUGAAGGACGUGCUAAUCUGCGAAAAGCGUCGGUAAGGUGAUAUGAACCGUUACAGCCGGCGAUGUCCGAAUGGGGAAACCCAGUGCAAUUCGUUGCACUAUCGUUAACUGAAUACAUAGGUUAACGAGGCGAACCGGGGGAACUGAAACAUCUAAGUACCCCGAGGAAAAGAAAUCAACCGAGAUUCCCCCAGUAGCGGCGAGCGAACGGGGAGCAGCCCGGAGUCUGAAUCAGCUUGUGUGUUAGUGGAAGCGUCUGGAAAGUCGCAGGGUACAGGGUGAUACUCCCGUACACUAAAACACACAGGUUGUGAACUCGAAGAGUAGGGCGGGACACGUGGUAUCCUGUCUGAAUAUGGGGGGACCAUCCUCCAAGGCUAAAUACUCCUGACUGACCGAUAGUGAACCAGUACCGUGAGGGAAAGGCGAAAAGAACCCCGGCGAGGGGAGUGAAAAAGAACCUGAAACCGUGUACGUACAAGCAGUAGGAGCCCACUUGUUGGGUGACUGCGUACCUUUUGUAUAAUGGGUCAGCGACUUAUAUUCUGUAGCAAGGUUAACCGUAUAGGGGAGCCGCAGGGAAACCGAGUCUUAACUGGGCGUUAAGUUGCAGGGUAUAGACCCGAAACCCGGUGAUCUAGCCAUGGGCAGGUUGAAGGUUGGGUAACACUAACUGGAGGACCGAACCGACUAAUGUUGAAAAAUUAGCGGAUGACUUGUGGCUGGGGGUGAAAGGCCAAUCAAACCGGGAGAUAGCUGGUUCUCCCCGAAAGCUAUUUAGGUAGCGCCUCGUGAACUCAUCUUCGGGGGUAGAGCACUGUUUCGGCUAGGGGGUCAUCCCGACUUACCAACCCGAUGCAAACUACGAAUACCGAAGAAUGUUAUCACGGGAGACACACGGCGGGUGCUAACGUCCGUCGUGAAGAGGGAAACAACCCAGACCGCCAGCUAAGGUCCCAAAGUCAUGGUUAAGUGGGAAACGAUGUGGGAAGGCCCAGACAGCCAGGAUGUUGGCUUAGAAGCAGCCAUCAUUUAAAGAAAGCGUAAUAGCUCACUGGUCGAGUCGGCCUGCGCGGAAGAUGUAACGGGGCUAAACCAUGCACCGAAGCUGCGGCAGCGACACUAUGUGUUGUUGGGUAGGGGAGCGUUCUGUAAGCCGUUGAAGGUGGCCUGUGAGGGUUGCUGGAGGUAUCAGAAGUGCGAAUGCUGACAUAAGUAACGAUAAUGCGGGUGAAAAACCCGCACGCCGGAAGACCAAGGGUUCCUGUCCAACGUUAAUCGGGGCAGGGUGAGUCGACCCCUAAGGCGAGGCCGAAAGGCGUAGUCGAUGGGAAACAGGUUAAUAUUCCUGUACUCGGUGUUACUGCGAAGGGGGGACGGAGAAGGCUAUGUUGGCCGGGCGACGGUUGUCCCGGUUUAAGCAUGUAGGCGGAUGUUCCAGGUAAAUCCGGAACGUCACUAACGCUGAGGUGUGAUGACGAGGCACUACGGUGCUGAAGUGACAAAUGCCCUGCUUCCAGGAAAAGCCUCUAAGCAUCAGGUAACAUCAAAUCGUACCCCAAACCGACACAGGUGGUCAGGUAGAGAAUACCAAGGCGCUUGAGAGAACUCGGGUGAAGGAACUAGGCAAAAUGGUGCCGUAACUUCGGGAGAAGGCACGCUGAUGGUAGGUGAAGCGACUUGCUCGUGGAGCUGAAAUCAGUCGAAGAUACCAGCUGGCUGCAACUGUUUAUUAAAAACACAGCACUGUGCAAACACGAAAGUGGACGUAUACGGUGUGACGCCUGCCCGGUGCCGGAAGGUUAAUUGAUGGGGUUAUCCGUAAGGAGAAGCUCUUGAUCGAAGCCCCGGUAAACGGCGGCCGUAACUAUAACGGUCCUAAGGUAGCGAAAUUCCUUGUCGGGUAAGUUCCGACCUGCACGAAUGGCGUAAUGAUGGCCAGGCUGUCUCCACCCGAGACUCAGUGAAAUUGAACUCGCUGUGAAGAUGCAGUGUACCCGCGGCAAGACGGAAAGACCCCGUGAACCUUUACUAUAGCUUGACACUGAACACUGGUCCUUGAUGUGUAGGAUAGGUGGGAGGCUUUGAAGUGUGGACGCCAGUCUGCAUGGAGCCAUCCUUGAAAUACCACCCUUUAAUGGCUGGUGUUCUAACGUGGGCCCCUAAUCGGGGUUGCGGACAGUGUCUGGUGGGUAGUUUGACUGGGGCGGUCUCCUCCUAAAGAGUAACGGAGGAGCACGAAGGUCAGCUAAUCCUGGUCGGACAUCAGGAGGUUAGUGCAAUGGCAUAAGCUGGCUUGACUGCGAGCGUGACGGCGCGAGCAGGUGCGAAAGCAGGUCAUAGUGAUCCGGUGGUUCUGAAUGGAAGGGCCAUCGCUCAACGGAUAAAAGGUACUCCGGGGAUAACAGGCUGAUACCGCCCAAGAGUUCAUAUCGACGGCGGUGUUUGGCACCUCGAUGUCGGCUCAUCACAUCCUGGGGCUGAAGUAGGUCCCAAGGGUAUGGCUGUUCGCCAUUUAAAGUGGUACGCGAGCUGGGUUUAGAACGUCGUGAGACAGUUCGGUCCCUAUCUGCCGUGGGCGCUGGAGAAUUGAGGGGGGCUGCUCCUAGUACGAGAGGACCGGAGUGGACGCAUCACUGGUGUUCGGGUUGUCAUGCCAAUGGCAUUGCCCGGUAGCUAAAUGCGGAAGAGAUAAGUGCUGAAAGCAUCUAAGCACGAAACUUGCCCCGAGAUGAGUUCUCCCUGACUCCUUGAGAGUCCUGAAGGAACGUUGAAGACGACGACGUUGAUAGGCCGGGUGUGUAAGCGCAGCGAUGCGUUGAGCUAACCGGUACUAAUGAACCGUGAGGCUUAACCUUACAACGCCGAAG